rnacentral:hammerhead_ribozyme from 1 species
AUCCGGCUGACGAGCCCCGAAUAGGGCGACACGCGUGUCCUGAAU